GCCUUCGUGGCGUAGUGGUCAGCACACUCGACGUGUAUUCGAGAGGUCCGUGGUUCGAGUCUCGGCGAGGGCA
rnacentral:tRNA from 1 species